rnacentral:rRNA from 1 species
GACGAACCGUGCGAACGUUGUUCGGAAUCACUGGGCGUAAAGCGCACGUAGACGGCUUCUUAAGUCAGGGGUGAAAUCCUGGAGCUCAACUCCAGAACUGCCUUUGAUACUGAGAAGCUUGAGUCCGGGAGAGGUGAGUGGAACUGCGAGUGUAGAGGUGAAAUUCGUAGAUAUUCGCAAGAACACCAGUGACGAAGGCGGCUCACUGGCCCGGUACUGACGCUGAGGUGCGAAAGCGUGGGGAGCAAACAGGG